UACGUAGGUGGCGAGCGUUAUCCGGAAUGAUUGGGCGUAAAGGGUGCGCAGGCGGUCCUGCAAGUCUGGAGUGAAACGUAUGAGCUCAACUCAUGCAUGGCUCUGGAAACUGGAGGACUGGAGAGCAGGAGAGGGCGGUGGAACUCCAUGUGUAGCGGUAAAAUGCGUAGAUAUAUGGAAGAACACCAAUGGCGAAGGCAGGUCUCUGGGCCGUUACUGACGCUGAGGAGCGAAAGCGUGGGGAGCGAACAGG
rnacentral:rRNA from 1 species